UCUCUACCCUCGCUCUCUCUCCCCGACGAACUCCCUCUCUCUCUCUCUCUCUGCCCUCCCUUUUUUCCGACCGGCGAACCAGCGCGAGCAACCGACGAACCAGGAGGAUGCCGGCGAGACGACCUGCGUGCGACCUCCCCCUCUGUCUCUGCCCUCCCUCUUUCCGACCGGCGAACCACCGCGCCGCCCUUCCGGCUCUGGAUCUGGCCCCUACUCGUCCGUCCCCUGCUCUCUCUCCCCUCGCGUCUCUGUCUGCCCUCCCUCUCUUCGCGGCGAACCAGCGCGUGACCGGCGAACCAGCGCCCCCCUCCGGCUCCAGAUCCGGCACCGGCUUGUCCUGUACGCUGGAACGUUCGCGCCCGACCGCCUCACACCCACCGGCCUCUUAAAACACCCACCGCCCGACCACUUCUCUGUCUUGUGGUUCUGGUGAGGUAAUACAGAUCAUGGGCUUAGUAAAUAAUGCAAUUUGCUGAGCAGCGACAGUGAGCACCAGUUCAGCACCAGAAAGGACAUGGGGCUGUAGAGAGCCCUUUUGAGAUUGACCAUUUUGGCGAUUUCCAAUUAGAUCUGUAACCCCUGUCAACUUUGGCACGUUGGCCGCGCCUCCCAUCAAGGUACACGUUCUCUACAGCUUUCACCACCGAGGCGCCAAGCCGUCGGUCCCUGCCCUCAUGAUAAGCACACGAGAUCGUUGGUGAUGGUGGAUUCUCUGCGUCCAUCUUUUGCUUUGUGCGUUCGUAGCCUGUUCUUUUCCGGCUUUUUGCAUCUGAACGAACUGUAAUAAACUAAUCACAUAUCUGGAAGCUGCGGAGUCCGUGCUGGGUCUCAUAGAUAACUCAAAUUUCGAUAUGAUCAUUGCACUACCAUUUAUGACCAUUUCCUCUAAUUUUUUGGUCACGAAAGUCUGCAUAACAUUUCCUUUCCCAAAAUAUAUGUUGUUUCUUGUGAUGUGCUUACCAGUUCCUGUUUUGAACACAUUGAAUUGAUCAGUCUAUCAGCCCGGGGGAGCUGCACCAUUGUCGUCAGCAGACAAGCCAAUAAGUCAGAGGUGGAGGAUCUUGAUGCCAGAUGGGUCUCAUGCCAUUUAUCCCAAACCCAGAGCUUUGAACUACUCUGAGAUACAAGAUAUGGUCGAGCAUUAUUGCCAGGCUCCCAUAAAUGCCAUUCGAGCUGGAUAGGGAGUCCAGGAAAUGGCAUCACUUCGCAGAGUCUUCCUGAUGUUGAUUUUGGCAUCUGUCCUCAGCCAAAUUCAAACUGCAACAGCCCGCCUUUGGUGUUUGCUAUGGAAUGCAAGGAGACAACCUGCCUAGUCUGGCUGAGGUGAUACAGCUCUACAAGAAUCACAAUAGUGGGACAAUGUGGCUCUACGAUCCCAACCCCGAAGCGCUCCGAGCUCUGGUGAACUCCAGCAUCAGCGUGAUCCUAGGCACCAAAAAUGAAGACCUACACAACUUGGCAUCAAGUGUGGAAGCUGCAAGUCAUGGAUCGACGCUCAUGUUGAGCGCUACUAAGGUGUAAACAUCAAGUACAUAGUUGUAGGCAACGAGGUCAUCCCUGGAGAAUUGGCUCAGUGCGUGUUGCUUGCAAUGCAGAAUCUACAAAGCGCCCUCAGCAGCUCCAGUUUCUCAUCUGUGGUGAUGACCACGGUGGUCUCGGGGACUAUCUGACAACCAUGCCCCUUUGUUGAUCAAUGUGUACCCUUACUUUGGCAAUGCUGCAGACCCCACCAACAUAAGAUUGGACUAUGUGCAGUUCACUGCACUGGGGCCAGUGGUCCGCGAUGGGGACCUAAGCUAUUGGAACUUGCUUGAUGCGAUGGUGGAUGCUUAUUACGCGGCAAUGGAGAGAGAGUAUUUCCCUAUUGUGGGCAUGGAGAUCUCCGAGUCCAGGUGGCCUUCUUCUGGAAAUUGGAAUUUCACUACUCCACAGUUCGCACUGACUUACAACCAAAAUUUCAUGAAGAAAAUCAAAGCAGGGACAGGGACGCCAAAGAGACCAGAUCGCCGCUUGGUAACGUAUUCGUGAUGUUCAAUGGGGAUCUGAAAUCCACCGGCGCGGGAACAAAAUUUCAGUCUCUUCUAUCCAGAUGGAACUCCAGUUUACCCCAUUUUUUUGUAGCUCCAAUCGACAGGACUCAGCUCCGGCACUUUCUUUUGCCACAUGCUGUAGACUUUCAGAGAUAGAUCUUAUCACGUGUAACUUGGAAGCUACAGUGAGUAUCAAUAAACGAUGCGAUAACCGGUAAACUGGAUCACCUGUUGUCUACAUCUGCAAUUCUAGAAUCUCAUGUUUGCAGCGGUGAUGCAAUGAAUAUGGGAAUUCUGAUUCUGGAUAUUCAAGGUCAAGUCAUCAA